CGCCGGUCUGCCGGUGAUGUCGAGCGACACCCAUAUCGUGCCGCUGUUCGUGGGCGAUCCGGAGCGCUGCAAGAAGGCCUGCGAUCUCUUGCUGGAGCAGCACGGCAUCUACAUUCAGCCGAUCAACUACCCGACGGUGCCGAAGGGGACCGAACGCCUGCGCAUCACGCCGUCGCCGUAUCAUGACGACGCGCUGAUCGAUGGACUUGCCGAGGCGCUGGUU
rnacentral:misc_RNA from 1 species